AUGUCAUCCUCGAAGCUGCGCCCCUCCGCCUCCAGAUCCGACGACCUGCCUGCCGAUGCGCUGUACGAGAUCCUCCUUCGCAUCCCGGCCAAGGAGCUCUGCCGCCUGCGCACCGUCAGCCCCUCCUGGCGCGCCCUCACGUUCGACCCACUCUUCAUCACGGCGCACAAGUCCCGCCACCACACGGCGCCCCCGCUCCUCGCCAUAGCCUAUUGCGAUGAUAGUGGGACCAACGGCGUUGCAAUUUCAGAUAUUUUCGGCAAUGUGCUGAAGCGGAUACCAAGCACCGGGUACGAAAUUGUUCUAGUGAACGAGUCAUCGGGCGAUCCGGUAGGCCAGAUCUCAAGCAAGGGCGAUAGCAUCCGUGUUGUACGCGCGCGGCUAGAUCUCAUCUGCUUCAACUGGAUUUUCUACUCUCGGGAUCUCUGGGUGUUGAACCCGGCCACUGGAUCUACCAUCACCUUGCCGACUGAUUUCUCAGAGGAAUUGGUGCAUGAGCUACAAGUGGAGGGAAUAAAAGAGUGGCACUGCAAAGUCGAGUCGUGUGCGUUUGGGCAGGUCUCCUCUACCAGAGAGUACAAGGCACUCCGUGUCUCUACAAUUGGUGACCGAAAGGUAUGUGAGAUUAUCACCUUUAAUGAGAUGAACCAUGGAAGAUGGAGGAGGAAGCAGGACCCUCCGUCCCAUAUCUGUACUGGUCGCGAGAUAAGAUGUGUGGUCGUCAACGGGGUGGUGUACUUCUUGAUGGACUUCUAUUCCACAUACUUUGAAACUGGGGUUAUAACCAUUGAGUCUGGUAGCGUAGCUUCGUUCAACCUCGAGACAGAAGAGUGGGGUGUUCUACAUGGUCCACAACAGGUGCAGAGGUUUGUGCAAGAAAACGAGGAUUACAGUUACUCAAAACUUGAAAUUGAGUUAUCAUUGGCUGAAUUGAAUGGAUGUUUAGUUAUGGUUCACAAUAUUCAUAACAUAUCUAUGGACUUGUGGUUUUUGACAGAUUUUGAGAAAUGUAUCUGGGUUAAGAAAUACAGCAUGCCAUCACAUGUUGCUAGGCCUUGUAUGUAUCCUUUUCUAAUGUUAGAUGAUGGGAGGAUAUUUUUCAGUGCAGAGGGUUAUCUACAAGGUAUCCUUGGUAGUGGAGAACCAGGAGAUGGAUUUCUGCGAAGUUAUGAUCCAAGAAAUGACACCUUUCUUGAUUCGUUAGAAUUGGGAGAUUCCAAGUCCAUUGGCAUUUAUACGGGAAGUCUACUGAGUUUAUAG
rnacentral:rRNA from 1 species